AAUUUUCACAGCAUCUGAGAUGAAGUAGGACCACCCGCUGAACUUAAGCAUAUCAUUAAGCGGAGGAAAAGAAACUAACAAGGAUUCCCUCAGUACGGGCGACGGAAGCGGGAAAAGCCCACAUUGGUAAUCUCCGGGGAGAACCUCGGCGAAUUGUAAUCUGAAGAUAGCUGGCCUAAUUGGAGGAGUCGCAGAAGUGUCCACGAGCGGACCGCCAAAGAGGGUGAGAGCCCCGUCUGUGGUGACGCCUCCUACCGGGCUGGUCAUCGAAGAGUCGCGUACUUUGAUACUAGUGCGCAAAGCGGGAGAUAAACUUCUUCUAAGGCUAAAUACAUGUAGGAAACCGAUAGCGAACAAGUACUGUGAAGGAAAGAUGAAAAGCACUUUGGAAAGAGAGUUAAAAGACUUGAAAUCGUUGAGGCGGAAGCGGUAGAAAUGAAUUCUACGGGCGUGCUCUGUGAAUCUGCCAAAGCGUAGCGGAAGCGGAGAAAAUUGGGCGCGUGUGUGAGACAAGAUGGAGUCGCACGAUGCCAGAAGCGGUGCAGAAGGGAGCAAUUCAGUCUGUGCUGGCGGGGUGUCGAGCGGCUUGAGGGGCUUUGUGCGAUCUUGUCAAAAUGGUUUUUACCGACUCGUCUUGAAACACGAACCAAGGAGUCUAAGACUAACGCGAGUAUGGUGGUGGAGAAACCAACAUGCGAAAUGAAAGUGAAUGAUGCCAAGCUAUGCAGCAGCAUCGACCGACCAUGACCCACUGGGAAAAGGUUUGAGUAAGAGCGUUAUUCUUAGGACCCGAAAGAUGGUGAACUAUGCCUGUUUAGGGUGAAGUCAGGGGAAACUCUGAUGGAAGCUCGUAGCGAUACUGACGUGCAAAUCGUUCGUCGAAAAUGGGUAUAGGGGCGAAAGACUAAUCGACCCCAUCUAGUAGCUGGUUCCCUCCGAAGUUUCCCUCAGGAUAGCUGGGACAAGUACGCAGUUUUAUUAGGUAAAGCGAAUGAUUAGAGGAAUUGGGGAUAAAAUGUCCUCGACCUAUUCUCAAACUUUAAAUUGGUAAGAACUCUGGCCUUUCUUAAGUGAGGCACGGAGGUUCAAUGCGUGUCCUUAGUGGGCCAUUUUUGGUAAGCAGAACUGGCGAUGAGGGAUGCUCCUAACGUUGGGUUAAGGUGCCAAACUACACGCUCAUCAGAAACUACAAAGGGUGUUAGUUCAUAUAGACAGCAGG
rnacentral:rRNA from 1 species